rnacentral:rRNA from 1 species
GAGGAAUAUUGGUCAAUGGACGCAAGUCUGAACCAGCCACGUCGCGUGAAGGAAGACGGCCCUACGGGUUGUAAACUUCUUUUAUACGGGAAUAAAGUGCCCCACGUGUGGGGUUUUGCAUGUACCGUUUGAAUAAGGAUCGGCUAACUCCGUGCCAGCAGCCGCGGUAAUACGGAGGAUCCGAGCGUUAUCCGGAUUUAUUGGGUUUAAAGGGUGCGCAGGCGGGCUUUUAAGUCAGCGGUGAAAUCUGGACGCUUAACGUCCAAACUGCCGUUGAAACUGGGAGUCGUGAGUAUGGAUGAAGUAGGCGGAAUUCGUUGUGUAGCGGUGACAUGCAUAGAUAUAACGAGGAACUCCGAGUGCGUAGGCAGCUUACUAAGCCAUAACUGACGCUCAUGCACGAAAGCGUGGGGAUCAAACA